GGAAAGCAGGCUUGCCCCGAGAGUCCACGCCCUUACUGCCCGUGCCGUCGUGGUGCCUUGAGGGCACCCCUCUGGGAGGAUCCUUGCAGAGGCCAUGUCCCCUCUCCACGACAUCUAAGCCCAGUCCCAACUUGCUUUUCACGCCUGUCCCCCCGGGGAACGUCUACUGGAUCUCAGGACCGCCCCUCAGCCCCGUGCAUUCCCGAGGUGAAUCUGCAGCGAAACCUCUGUGGUGACUCACAGUUGCUAGCAUUGGUUAUCUUCUUCCUGGCAGAAGGUGGCAGGCUGAUGCUGGCCUCGUUCCUGUGUGUCUGACAAAUCACAAAUGUGAAUUCAGAUCGUCACAGCUGAGUCAUGCUCAGGAUUUCCAUGAGCCCUGCUGGGGUGGCCAGCUGAGCUUCCUUCCCCACAGCCCCCUCCAGCUCUGCAGCACCAGGCACCAGUGUGACUCAUGGGGGCCUGUGGAAGCUGGGGCUGCUCAGUGGGGCUGAGUCUAGGAGGGGGAGAGAGAAAGGGAGCCCAGCAACAAUUACAGCGCAAACGCCGCAGCUGCCACCACCGAGUGCCUCCAGUUGGGAACUGGUUUGUGAAAUUCAUUACCCUAUGAGAUGAGUUUUAUCUCUGUUUCACUCAAGAGGAUUCUGAAGCUCAGGAGGUUGUGAAUGACUCCGGGAAGCACAGCUGGAUCCUUAAUAGGCGUGGAAGUGUUCGCCAGACAGAGAGGUCCUGCCCUUGCCGAUCUGAGCUGGUUCUGUGUUAGAGACUCCGUGGGCGUCUGUUUGACAGGAUCUGCCAGGAGCGGCAGAAUGACUUUCCUGAUCUGGAAGAGCAAAUCUCAGAUAUUUUGCACAUUUGCAGGUAUUUUAAAACGGUUUCUGUAAGAUGCCAACAUUACCUUUCCAGUAUUUUGAAGUUCUCCAAUGUUUACUGAGAAGAGCUCAGUUGUGUUUAUACUGAAUUUCAGGUGGGUUUCUUGAUCGCGCCUCUCCCUUCAUCACCAGCUUUGCUCCGAGCCCCUAACUGUACUCCCCCUGAGGGUCCCAUGGAUUCAGGUGACUGGUGCCCUGCAGGUUUCAUUUGUGAGGACCCAUUCUUCUUCCUGGGACUUUGGCUUGUGUCUUUCUUCUGCCAAACCAAAUUUGCCAUUUCCUUUAGGAUUCUGUUCAAAACUCUCUCUUCUCAGGAACAUUUCCUGAAAACUCGACUCUCUAUGCUGAUUUUUCCUUAUGAGCCUUCCCUAUACCCUUAGUAAAGUGAAGUUUGACAAACACAACGCUAUGACAAUGAACAUUUGCAUUCAUAUAACUUUCCUCUUCUCUUGAAUUAUUUGCUUAAUCUCCCAGGAGUGAAUUUUCUGGAUGAAAGCAUUUAGACUUUUUUUUUUCUUUUUGAGAUAAGAUCUUGUCCUGUCACCCAGGCCAGAGUGCAGUGGCACAAUCACAACUCACUACAGCCUUGACGUCUGGCCUCAAGCAGUCCUCCCGCCUCAGCCUCCCAAGUAGCUGGGACUACAGGCACACACCACCACACCCAGCUUAUUAUUGUAUUUUUUGUAGAG
ensembl:lncRNA